UGUCCAGACUCCUACGGGAGGCAGCAGUGAGGAAUAUUGGUCAAUGGGCGAGAGCCUGAACCAGCCAAGUCGCGUGAAGGAUGACGGCCCUACGGGUUGUAAACUUCUUUUGUCAGGGAGCAGUUGGGUCCACGCGUGGGCUUAGCGAGAGUACCUGAAGAAAAAGCAUCGGCUAACUCCGUGCCAGCAGCCGCGGUAAUACGGAGGAUGCGAGCGUUAUCCGGAUUUAUUGGGUUUAAAGGGAGCGUAGAUGGGUUGUUAAGUCAGUUGUGAAAGUUUGCGGCUCAACCGUAAAAUUGCAAUUGAUACUGGCAGUCUUGAGUACAGUUGAGGUAGGCGGAAUUCGUGGUGUAGCGGUGAAAUGCUUAGAUAUCACGAAGAACUCCGAUUGCGAAGGCAGCUUACUAAACUGCCACUGACAUUGAUGCUCGAAAGUGUGGGUAUCAAACAGGAUUAGAUACCCGUGUACC
rnacentral:rRNA from 1 species